rnacentral:tRNA from 1 species
GAAUUGAUGCUCGAGUUUGGAUAAAAAGGGCGCACUGUAAAUGCGUUAGAUUUAUUUUUCUUACAUCGGUUCGAAUCCGAUUCAAUUC